rnacentral:rRNA from 1 species
CCUACGGGAGACAGCAGUGAGGAAUAUUGGUCAAUGGGCGCGAGCCUGAACCAGCCAAGUCGCGUGAGGGAAGACGGUCCUAUGGAUUGUAACCCUCUUUUGUCGGGGAGCACAAGACGCCACGCGUUGCGUUCCGAGAGUACCCGAAGAAAAAGCAUCGGCUAGCUCCGUGCCAGAAGCCGCGGUACUACGGAUGAUGCGAGGGUUAUCCUGAUUGAUUGGAGUUAACUGGUGCGCAGGGGGAAGAUCAGGUCAGCGGUAAAACUGAGGGGCUCAACCUCUUCGAGCCGUUGAAACUGGUUGUCUUGAGUGAGUGAGAAGUAAGCGGAAUGCGUGGUGUAGCGGUGAAAUGCAUAGAUAUCACGAAGAACUGCGAUUGCGAAGGCAGCAUACUGGCGCUCAACUGACGCUCAUGCACGAAAGUGUGGGUAUCGAACAGGAUUAGAUACCCCUGUAGUC